UACGUAGGGUGCGAGCGUUGUCCGGAAUUAUUGGGCGUAAAGAGCUUGUAGGCGGUUUGUCGCGUCUGCUGUGAAAAUCCGGGGCUCAACCCCGGACUUGCAGUGGGUACGGGCAGACUAGAGUGCAGUAGGGGAGACUGGAAUUCCUGGUGUAGCGGUGGAAUGCGCAGAUAUCAGGAGGAACACCGGUGGCGAAGGCGGGUCUCUGGGCUGUAACUGACGCUGAGGAGCGAAAGCGUGGGGAGCAAACAGG
rnacentral:rRNA from 1 species